GACGAACGCUGGCGGCGUGCUUAACACAUGCAAGUCGAACGGCAAGGCCCUGCUUUUGUGGGGUGCUCGAGUGGCGAACGUGUGAGUAACACGUGAGUAACCUGCCCUUUACUUUGGGAUAACUUCAGGAAACUGUGGCUAAUACCGGAUAGGAGCUCCUGCUGCCUGGUGGGGGUUGGACCGUUUCGGCGGUUGGGGAUGGACUCGCGGCUUAUCAGCUUGUUGGUGGGGUAGUGGCUUACCAAGGCUUUGACGGGUAGCCGGCAUGAGAGGGGGACCGGCCACAUGGGGACUGAGAUACGGCCCAGACUCCUACGGGAGGCAGCAGUGGGGAAUAUUGCACAAUGGGCGGAAGCCUGAUGCAGCAACGCCGCGUGCGGGAUGACGGCCUUCGGGUUGUAAAACGCUUUCGGCUGUGACGAAGCGUGAGUGACGGUAAUGGGUAAAGAAGCACCGGCUAACUACGUG
rnacentral:rRNA from 1 species